UACAGAGGUCUCAAGCGUUGUUCGGAAUCACUGGGCGUAAAGGGUGCGUAGGCCGGCACGGUAAGUCAGAGGUGAAAUCCCGGGAGCUCAACUCCGGAAUGGGCCUCCGAUACUGCCGUGCUCGAGGACCGGAGAGGAGUCUGGAAUUCACAGUGGAGCAGUGAAUGCGUAGAUAUUGUGAGGAACACUAGUGGCGAAGGCGAGACUCUGGACAGUUCCUGACGCUGAGGCACGAAGGCCAGGGGAGCGAAACGGGG
rnacentral:rRNA from 1 species